rnacentral:rRNA from 1 species
UACGUAGGUGACAAGCGUUGUCCGGAUUUACUGGGCGUAAAGAGCGCGCAGGCGGUCGAUCAAGUCGAGUGUGAAAGCCCCCGGCUCAACUGGGGAGGGUCAUUCGAUACCGAUCGACUCGAAGGCAGGAGAGGGUAGUGGAAUUCCCGGUGUAGUGGUGAAAUGCGUAGAUAUCUGGAGGAACACCGGUGGCGAAGGCGGCAUCCUGGACCGAGAUUGACGCUGAUGCGCGAAAGCCAGGGGAGCAAACGGG